rnacentral:pre_miRNA from 1 species
CACCUAUUCCCUCCGUUCCACAAUCCAUGACUUCCAUUUGUCAAAAUAUAGAUGUGUCUAGACAUGUUUUAGUAUAUAGGUAUAUUCAUUUUUAGACAAAUGGAAAUCAAGUAUUUUGAAACGGAGGGAAUAAUCA